rnacentral:rRNA from 1 species
AUUGAACGCUGGCGGCAUGCCUUACACAUGCAAGUCGAACGGCAGCACGGGUGCUUGCACCUGGUGGCGAGUGGCGAACGGGUGAGUAAUACAUCGGAACAUGUCCUGUAGUGGGGGAUAGCCCGGCGAAAGCCGGAUUAAUACCGCAUACGAUCUACGGAUGAAAGCGGGGGACCUUCGGGCCUCGCGCUAUAGGGUUGGCCGAUGGCUGAUUAGCUAGUUGGUGGGGUAAAGGCCUACCAAGGCGACGAUCAGUAGCUGCUCUGAGAGGACGACCAGCCACACUGGGACUGAGACACGGCCCAGACUCCUACGGGAGGCAGCAGUGGGGAAUUUUGGACAAUGGGCGAAAGCCUGAUCCAGCAAUGCCGCGUGUGUGAAGAAGGCCUUCGGGUUGUAAAGCACUUUUGUCCGGAAAGAAAUCCUUGGCCCUAAUACGGUCGGGGGAUGACGGUACCGGAAGAAUAAGCACCGGCUAACUACGUG